GUGGUUGUAGCUCAGCUGGUUAGAGCGCUGGAUUGUGGUUCCAGAGGUCGCCGGUUCGAACCCGGUCUUCCACCCUA
rnacentral:tRNA from 2 species